AUGGGGUGCAGCAGGCGCGAAACCUCCGCAAUGCGGGAAACCGUGACGGGGCCACCCCGAGUGCCACCCGNNGAGGGUGGCUUUUCCCCGGUCUAAACAGCCGGGGGAAUAAGGGGAGGGCAAGCCUGGUGUCAGCCGCCGCGGUAAUACCAGCUCCCCGAGUGGUGGGGNNGNUUAUUGGGCCUAAAGCGCCCGUAGCCGGCCCAGUAAGUCCCUCGUUAAACCCGGCGNUNUANCCGUCGGACUGCGGGGGAUACUGCUGGGCUUGGGGGUGGGAGAGGCCGGCGGUACUCCCGGGGUAGGGGUGAAAUCCUAUAAUCCCGGGAGGACCACCAGUGGCGAAGGCGGCCGGCCAGAACACGCCCGACGGUGAGGGGCGAAAGCUGGGGGAGCGAACCGGAUUAGAUACCCGGGUAGUCCCAGCUGUAAACGAUGCGGGCUAGGUGUCGGAACGGCCUUAGANNNGUUCCGGUGCCGCAGGGAAGCCGUUAAGCCCGCCGCCUGGGGAGUACGGCCGCAAGGCUGAAANNUAAAGNANNNNNGGGGGAGCAC
rnacentral:rRNA from 1 species